rnacentral:rRNA from 1 species
CCUACGGGAGGCUGCAGUAGGGAAUCUUCCACAAUGGGCGAAAGCCUGAUGGAGCAACGCCGCGUGGGUGAAGAAGGUCUUCGGAUCGUAAAACUCUGUUGUUAGAGAAGAAAGUUCGUGAGAGUAACUGUUCCCGUUUCGACGGUACCUAACCAGAAAGCCACGGCUAACUACGUGCCAGCAGCCGCGGUAAUACGUAGGUGGCAAGCGUUAUCCGGAAUUAUUGGGCGUAAAGGGAACGCAGGCGGUUUUUUAAGUCUGAUGUGAAAGCCUUCGGCUUAACCGGAGUAGUGCAUUGGAAACUGGGAGACUUGAGUGCAGAAGAGGAGAGUGGAACUCCAUGUGUAGCGGUGAAAUGCGUAGAUAUAUGGAAGAACACCAGUGGCGAAGGCGGCUCUCUGGUCUGUAACUGACGCUGAGGUUCGAAAGCGUGGGUAGCAAACAGGAUUAGAUACCCUAGUAGUC